AAUUCCCACCUCAUGGCUAUUUAAUUAUUUCAUGUUGUAUUUCUGAAUGGAUUUUUUCAUUUCAUAAUGACACUUCUCCGAAUUACGUAUUUCCGAAUGGCGUUUUUAUUUCCAAAUUUCAUAAUGAUACUUUUCAAAAUGCCAAGACCUCGCUAGGCUAUACUGAGAAGAAAAAAAAAAAACAUUUUAAUUGCUAUCUUGGUUAAACUAAAUCUGAAUUUAUUACAUCUUCAUUGGGGAUUUGUAGCAGAUACUGCUAUCCAAAUCAGUUUACGCAGCUCACAUUUCUUUGUGUACAAUUAAUUUAAUACAGCUGCUAUUUACUGAGGCAUUUCAGUUUCUGCACCCUACUGCUUGGUAUAGUUUUCCUCACUGCUCCACAAGGGCUGUAGGUUAAGGCUUACUUUCUUUUUUUUCACUUAGUGAAAG